AGUAAACUUAAUAGGAUCUCGGCUUUCCUGUUGCUUCACCAGUGAAACAGAAACCAGACCACAAGGGGGUCUGGAGAUGGCGAUGCCUCUUGGUGGGCAGGCAGCAGGGCCUCCUCAGAGACAGCACCAGGAAAUGACUGCUGGAAACGGCCACUCUGGGUUCUCCUGGCACCCGGCUUGAAUGUCACUGCCUCCAGGAAGCCCUCUGCUACCGGACUGGUGAUGCUCCUUGGGGCCCCAUUAUAGGCCCAAGGGUGCCCCCUUGCUCCCCUGCCCUCACCCCCUCCUACUUCUCUGGUCUCUCCUAGGGUGGGAGUCGAGUGUGGCUCUUUCACCUUGACCUUGGCAGAGGGUCCUGCCCCAUUCACAACCUUAUAAGGGAAGGGGACUGGGUGUGGGGUGGGGGGCAGGUCAUCAGGUCACCAGGUGCCCUCUGGGAGCCCUGAGCCAGGGGAUUUAGGCGAUCCCCAGGUCGGGACUCUCCUGCCAGGACCACUUUUCUCUCUGCGGUGGUUUUCAUUAUUUUACAUUCCCAGACUAUUUUGGAAGCUGGCUGCCAUGGGAACCGAGUCUCUGGAAAGCCCCAGCCUCUUUUUUUUCCCUCCUGCCCCCACCCCUUUCCAUCUCUAUUCCCUCUUAAUUGGUUUUUAGUUCCCUGGCUUUCAGGCCAGUCUGUUUAUUUUGAUUGCAACUCAACAGAACAAACCUUUAAUGAACCAGCUUGUGGAGAGAGCCAUUAGCAGCCGCCCGCCUCGGGGAGUGGGGGAGGCGCAGGCCUGGGCUGCAGCCCCCCAGGGGAGGUUUUGGCCAGGCUUCGGUGGCGGCCAGCUCUUGGGCCCAGUCUUCCUUCAGGUACAGUCUAGAGAGUUUGGCCUCCCCAAGCUGUCUGCAGCCUCAGCUGAGAUGACCUCCCAGCCUUUGAAAAGACGAGGUGGCUUCACAGAGCUCCCGGGUCCCCCAGGGCCCGAGAGGGGCGCACCCAGCUCUACCCCACUGUGCAGACCUGGGGGUGAGGCUCAGCAGAACCCAGAGACCCGAGUCUCGGCCAGCAAACUGUCCUUUGGUAAACCGGGACCAGGGCCCUUGUCCUUCCCCUUGAGGAAGGCACCGAUGGUUUCCCAGGACUGUCAACUUGUCCUCGGGCCAAAGCCACAGUGAUGGUCCAGGCCGGGCUCUACUAGAAAGGCCCUGGCUUUCUGGAGCAGAUUCUUCUCUGUUUUGCCCCUUCUCUAACACAGAGCCAUCUGGACCCCCACUAUUUAGAGGGCUUCUUCAUGGACGCAGUGGAAUCACAUGGUCCCGGAGCCUUGCAGACAGGACCCUGCGGAUCCCAGGGUGCUGUUGUGAGCGCAGAGCUCAGAACGAUCCGGGCAGCUUCCUUACCUUCAGCCAGCCCCGGCUCCGGGGUGACCUGAAUGGAUGAGGCUGGUUUGCCCUUUCAUACUGACCUUGUCCUGCCAGAGCUGUUGACCUCAGAAGUGGAGGCCCUGGAUUGCUGGGGCCUGAGGAACAUGGGUGGGCCGGCCUCUCCCCAUCUCUACCUCCCUCGACCCUCACCUGCCAUCACCCAGGUGACCUGGUACCAUGGUCGCCAUCCUGUGUCCCUGAAGGAAGCUAGGAUGAGGACAAAGCCAUCCCUGGAGGUCCGCAGACUGCCAGAUGACCCUGGAGAGCAGUAAACUAUCCCAUCCCUGGGGUGGGCCUGUCUUUGAACUUCUGGACUCUCCUUGCAAUACAUUUCCAUAUUAUUUACACUGGUUUAAAGUAUUAUGCUAACUUUCUUUCUUAUCUUCUUCUUAUUAUUUUUAUUUUAGCUGUGUAUUUUUGUCUGCCUGCUUUUAUUUUUAUAGCCACACCAGGUUGUGGGCUCAAGGAUAGAAGACACAGACAUUCACAGUUGCCAUGUAUAUCAAUUAGGAAUUACUUUGGCUGCUUAAACCCUAAACAACUAAGUGAAUACUUUUCUCACUUAAUGGGGAGCCUGGAGAAGGUGAUCCAGCUGAGCUCAGCUGUUGAAAGGAGUCAUUAGGAAUCAAGGUUCUUGCUAUUUCCCUGUUCUUGCCAUCCUUGAUUGAAUUUUCUUCACAUGGUCAUCAAUGGCUGCAUCACUUCCAGCCAUCAUAUCUGAGUUCCGUGCUGGGGAUGAAGGAUGUAGAAAAGGAAGUUUGUGCCAUCUGAAUCUGUGUUUUUGUCAAGAAAACCAUACCUUUCCAGAAUCCUUACCCUAAAAUUCUCUACAUCUGUCAUUGGCCAGAAGUGCACGACAUGGACAUCUUAGCUAGAUUUAUGGGACUUUUGUUUGGCUACCCCAAACAAACUUAGGAUUUUGUUAAAAAAGAGAGAGGGUGGGAAAUAGAUCCUGGGAGGGAAAGGGGCAUCUUUUGCGGUGGGCUUGGCCAGCCCAGCUCAGCAGGGCAACUGAGACGGGAAUGAGCCCAGAGGGUGUGACCUGGCUCAGAAUGGUCUGGGGCCACGUGGGCCUCUAUUUACUGCCUUCCCUCCAUCACCCCCAGCCCCACAGAUGCCAAAGCGGUCUCUCCACAGCACCUGCUCUGUCACAUGUCACACUACUCCUCUGUCAGAAAUCUCCCUUUGUUCAAAGGAUGUGGUCAAAAUGCCCGGGCCCCAUAUUUCAGGUCCUUCCAGGACGGGCGACAAACCACCUCUCUGGCCUGAUUUGUCCUCUGUGUUCUGCCCCUUUUGGGUGGUGCCCUUGAUUUGUUCUCAUGUGACAUCUCCCAUCCUCUCUACCUGGCAGACCCCACCACCUUUAGGGUCACCUCAUCCCCGAAGCUGACUCUCCUGCUCUGGACCUUCUCUGGGUUCCCUCCGUGCGAGUUGUGCUACUUAAAUAGAGCAUUUGUUGAGUAUCAGCCACCUCAGAACACGCCCGCGUGUUUACACGCCCAUGUCUUGCACGUCAAAGAUGCUCUGUAAGUGUUCACGUCUUCUUUCCAAGCUUCCCAUCUCUGGCAACCUCCGGCCAGGGCCCUUGGAAGAUUGAUGGAUUUCAAAACACUGUCUUGGGAAUAUUCUUGCAGUGAUUUAAAAAGUCCAAUGUCAAUAUCGAACUGCUGUGGCCACUAAUGGUCAGUUCUGCCAAGAUGGGCAUCCUGUCUUGCCCAUCAUGAUGUCCCCAGCACACAGUGAGGUAUCUGGGGCUCUUAGGCACAAAUAAAACAAAAACAAGCAGAAAAAAAAAAACACCCACUUGUUGCAAGCGUCCUAAGGAAGCUCUCCUGAACAGCUCCCGGUGGACCCCACAUGCCUGAAUCCUUAUCCUCCCCUGCAGCCUGGAAGCAGCUUCUCCCCUCCCAGUCCUAGUGGGGGUGUUGAGAAGCCCAAUCCCGCAAGCCCGUUUAGAGAGACCAGCCAAGGAGUCUCUUAUCUGAGGUUGCAGUUCCAGGCUUGGCACAGCAGUGUCACCAGGAACAUCAAUGCCCAGGGGCGGCUGGGAGGCCACCAUGCUUCCCACUUCACUCUCCAGGAUGGAUGCUGAGCCACAGUGGGAAGUGAAGGGUGGGAAGGAAUGGUAUUGGGGUAAGGAGCCAACGGCAGGCACCUUCCUUUUGUUUGAAGAUAAGGGACAGGGGCUUGGCAAGAUUAAGUGACUUGCCAACAUCCCAUAGUAGGUUAGGAGCAGAGCUGGGGUCUGUCUGUCUCUGAAACUGUCAUCUUCAUGAUGCAAGAUAGGUGUGUGUGUCACAGAGCAAGUGUGUGUGUGUGUGUGUGUGUGUGUGUGUGUGUGUGUGUGUGUGUGUCUGGAUGAGGGAACUCAGACUCUGGGGACCUCUAUCCUAGGGUCUGAUGAUUGUGGCUCUGCGGACACAGCCCCUCUGGAUUUGGAACUCCUUCUCCUUGAAAAUGGACUUUAUCAGGAAGGGAUGGGAUGGGAUGGGAUGGGAUGGAAAGGAAGCACUACGUGCCUUAAUAUUUUAAAAUUUUAAUUUUCAGAAUAGGCACAAAUGAAAAGAACACAGCUCAAUUAAUUUUCCUAAAGGGGACACUCCUGUGUCUAAAACCCAGUAAGAGAAACAGCACAUUACCAGAACCCCAGCAAUUCUCUUCUUGACCAUGUGUAGUCCUUACAUCCCCCUUGCCAGGGCUAACCAUCAUCCUGAGCAAAACAAUUUGGGCUGUUUGGGUACUUAUAGAUGGAACUAUAUACUAUGUACUCACGUGUGUGAAUUCUUUGUUCAAAAUUAUACUGGUGAGGAUUAUCCAUGUCAUCAUGUAAGCUGGGGUUCUUAUUGUUAUGCUGCAUAGUAUUCUACUUUAUGACUAUACUUCAAUUUAUCUAUUUUACUUUGAUGGGUAUUUUGAAAAACUAGUUUUUAGCUAUGACGUAUGGUGCAGCUAUAAGCAUUUUGAACAUGUAAAGUCCUGUUGAAUGUAUAUUGGGAGUGGAAUCUAUGGGCAACAGGAAGGUGUCUAUUUAGUUUUAGUGGGUAGGGGCGAAAGUUUUCAAAGGAGUAGUAUUAAUUUCCACUCCUAUCAAGUUGCUCUGUCUUCUUGCCAACACUUGGUAUUAUCAGUGUUUUUAACUCUUUUGUUGAGUAGGUAUAUAAUGGUAUCUCAUGAUGGCUUAAUUUUCAUUUGUGUUUCCUGAUUGACUAACAAAACUGAGCACCCUUUCAUGUGUUUAUUGAUCAUUGCUAUAGCUUUAUCUUUUAAAUUGAACUACCCUGACAGAGAAACGGGCAGAGGCCUUCUGAGAAGGUGUGUGGUUUCUGAGCUUGGGAAGGUUUGGGAGGCACAGAUCAGCUGCUUCAUGGCCAAGCAGAAGAGGACACAGCAGCUCUCUGUCAAGCAAGGGCUUUCCAUGGUUUGGAUGUGACUCAUCUACCCUCAUCUUUGUCCUCUGUUUUAUCAUGAACCCUGGGGGAAGAGGAAUGGUCAGAGAAUUGUCAAUGGAGGAGCGCCAAGAAGUUCAUGGUCAAAACCAGCCCCAAGGACUGACAGAAUUAAGUCCUCACUAGGCUGGUGGCUUUCAGAAGAUGAAAUUUUCCCUGGAGUACCAAAAUGUAACAAGCUUGAUUUUUUUUUCCUCCAUCCUGACUUCGUGUCCCAGAGAGUGGAUUUGGGACACAAAAAUAUCCAAACACCAUUUUGCUGAGGAUGGCAGUUGGGGAGAAAUAUCCUCUGGUUGGAAGCCCAAGACACAAGGACAGAAGCAAAACAUUUGGCUGACUUUUCAACUUGCCUGGGGUCAUCGGAGUCCAAGUCCACCUCUCCUCCAGGAAUAGUCUGGAAUUGCAGUGGCCACUUUGGGGGUUACGUUUAACAUGACCAAAAUGGUUCAUCUUGAAGGUACCUGAGACCAGGGGGUAACAAACUUUUUCCAUGAAGGGCCAGAUCAUCAGUAUUUCAGGCUGCGUAGCACGUCUCUUUUGCUGACUACCUGACUCCGCUGUCAGGUGUUAAGAGUGACGAAGACAAUGGAGUCCAACACACCUUAUCUACCACAGAAGGCCCGGGUCAGAGUUGGCCUGUGGGCUGUAGUUUACAGAACCCGGCUCUGGGCUGUCCCUCACCUGCCAACAUCAUCUGGGUGAACAGUCAAGGUCGGGGCAGGGAUGGGAACAAAGACCUCAAGGCCUACUUGAAAACCUCUGAAUGAAUUUUAUAUAAUUGUACUCUGUGAUGAAACAUGGAUGUGUCCUCUGAGUUUUGCUUGCAAGUGUGUUUUCAGAUUUCCUGAAGACUUUCUUUGUUAAAGACUGUCAAUCAAUCAAUCAAUCAACCCAAACUAUUCAACAUUGUGUUUUUUCUAAAGGAAUUCCCAAUCUAUGAUGCUACUGAUAGGUGUCAUUUUUCUGAGAAGGCCACUGAUGACCUCUGCCUGACAUGGAUAAUUUACUCAAAAUGUCCUCUGUCCACUCAUCUCCCAAUCUACUAACGACCUAGAAAGAACAAAGGGAAUUUGCAUUUUCCUGGUUUGAAGCCUGCCCUUGGCCUCAGCAGCAGUAAGUUCAACUCCUUUGAGAAUUCAUCAGUUCUGUCCUUUCGAGUCGGUAACAGGCCUACAAAGUGUGGAGGCAUAUCAUCUCUGAUCCUAGACUCUGCUGCUAGAAGCAAGUAUAGCCAAAUAGUGCGAAGGAUCCAUGCCAUAUGCCAGUGUCAUUACUGACAACCCCCAGUCCAUCCCUGAACAACCUCAAAGCUCCAAUGAAUUUUUUUUUGGUGUAUGUGGGGGGAGCAUACUGGGAUUGAACCCAGGGACACUUUACCACUGAACUACAUCCCCAGUUCUUUUUAUUUUUUUACUUUGAGACAGGGUCUCACUGAGUUGCAGUUCUCCUGUCUCCGUCUUCUGAGUUACCGUGAUUAUAGGCAUGUGUCACCAUGCCUGGUUUCAAUAUGUCAUUUUUAAAAAUAAAAAGAUUGUUCUGGCAGAAA